rnacentral:rRNA from 1 species
UACGAAGGGGGCUAGCGUUGUUCGGAAUUACUGGGCGUAAAGCGCACGUAGGCGGAUCGAUAAGUCAGGGGUGAAAUCCCAGGGCUCAACCCUGGAACUGCCUUUGAUACUGUCGAUCUGGAGUAUGGAAGAGGUGAGUGGAAUUCCGAGUGUAGAGGUGAAAUUCGUAGAUAUCUGGAGGAACACCAGUGGCGAAGGCGACUUUCUGGCCUGUUCUUGACGCUGAGGCGCGAAAGCUAGGGGAGCAAACGGG